rnacentral:rRNA from 1 species
AUACGGAGGGUGCAAGCGUUACACGGAAUCACUGGGCGUAAAGCGCGCGCAGGCGGCUAUUUAAGUUGGAUGUGAAAGCCUAUGGCUCAACCAUAGAACUGCAUCCAAAACUAUUUAGCUAGAGUGUGGGAGAGGAAGAUGGAAUUAGUUGUGUAGGGGUAAAAUCCGUAGAGAUAACUAGGAAUACCAAAAGCGAAGGCAAUCUUCUGGAACACUACUGACGCUGAGGCGCGAAAGCGUGGGGAGCAAACGGGAUUAGAAACCCCAGUAGUCC